ACCAUCGGUACCACCAGCCCAAGCCGAAGCAAUAGUAGCAGCUUCACUUGGUAUUUCUUCGAACUCGGUAGGAACAUAUGGAGGGUUGAAUAUUAAAAUAUCAACUCCAUUCCCGAGUCUAAUUCCGUCAAGGAAUGAAGUUUGUACGGUAAUGAACAACCCAUUAUCGUCCUUAUACAACUCACGAUUAUUCAGAGCAGUUAUCUUACUAGCACGACACGCAGAAUUUGAGAUGUCGGACAUAAAAUGAACUAGACAUCAGCAUAUUAUAUUUUGUGGUUUGCAACCGUACCAAUUGGCUUGUUUUUCAAAAUCCCACUUUUUAAAAAUGAGGAUGCACAGCCAGAUCCGCAGCUGCAGGUUAAUAUCUUCACGAUUUAACCAAAAACCUACCCAAUUUCCGCUGUUAAUAAGUUUUUCAUUUCAGCCAUUUGGCGCAAUUUUUUGGCAUCCUUUUCAAGCGCAUCGAGCAAAGCAAACGUGUCCUCUAAAAGUGUAAUUAGCAAGCUUUUUUGACCUUUUAUAACAUACCAGCUGGUUCAUAAACAUCUUGAAAUUCUUUUAGACGCAACUGGGAUGUAACUGGGGUCGAAAGCAUUCGUUCUUACGCGUACCUACUUAUUUGAAGAAGGACGUCAGACUGUGGUGCAAAUGAUAUGAGAAUGUUUGAUUUGGGAUAGGAACUUUUGGAAUAUGAUGAAUUUUUUUGAAAUUUCAUUUAAUAAUAAAUACUGAUUCUAAUUAUAAUUUAAACGUUUCUGUCCUGCUAUGAACACCGUCAAAGACGAAUGUAUUAUUCAAAGG